UUUGCCCGCAUAAAAUUUCAUUUCCCACUUCACAAAACAUUUUAUUUUCCCACAAAUAUUUCAUUUCCUACUGCACAAAACUCUCUCUCAUUUUCUCUCUAUCUCUCACAUUCACUCACACACACACACAAAUCUUCACAUUCACAUUCACACUCACACACACAGCUUUCGCUGGCGCCGAGGAGGAGAGACCAACCAAGCGCCGCCGAGCCCAGCGCCGCCGAGGCCGAACCCAACUCAGCCCUCCUCCGGCCCAAAUCUCCUUUCGAUUGCUCAGUGAAUUCAAAGUUCCUUUCAUUUCAACGAUCUUAGCCGGGGUUUUGGGAAAUUAACCGACGCUCAUAAAGUGUUUGAUGAAAUGCCGAGGAAGAAAGUUGUUACUUGGACCGCUGUUAUUGAUGGGAUGUUCCUCUGGUCUAACAAUCUCCAACUCUCAAAAAUCAUCAACCGCAUCCCAUCAACCAAGCAACUUAUAAGCUUUAUCUUGGUGUUCGAGGACUUUUUUGUAUACAAAGAACUACGGAAGAACAACCACAUUUUUUGCAAGUGUUGAAGGAUAUUUUUAAACACUUUGGAACUUUGAUUAUAGUAUUAUCUUAAUUUGAGUGGUUGUUUUAUUCAAA